GCACCCAUAGCUCAGCUGGAUAGAGCGCUGCCCUCCGAAGGCAGAGGCCGAUGGUUCGAAUCCAUCUGGGUGCGCCA
rnacentral:tRNA from 1 species